GCGUCGAUGGUGCAACGGUCCAGCACGCGCUCCCGGAAGGAGUGAAAUCUGGGUUCGAAUUCCAGCUGGUACA